rnacentral:lncRNA from 1 species
GCAGUCUGCGCAGGGACUGGCGGGACUGCGCGGCGGCGACUACAGACGUGUCGGGGGUCCGGGGCCUGUCGCGGUUGCCAAGCGCUCGGCGCCUGGCGCUGGCGCUGGCCAAGGCGUGGCCAACAGUGUUGCAAACAGGAACCCGAGGUGUUCACUUCACUGUUGAAGGAACGAGAGGGCAUCUGCUAAAGUUUCAGAUUCCAUUUCUGCUCAGUAUCCAGUAGUGGAUCAUGAAUUUGAUGCAGUGGUGGUAGGCGCUGGAGGGGCCGGCUUUGCGAGCUGCAUUUGGCCUUUCCGAGGCAGAGUUUGAUACAGCAUGUGUUACCAAGCUGUUUCCUACCAGGUCACACACUGUUGCAGCGCAGGUAGAAAAUUAUGGCAUGCCGUUUAGCAGAACUGAAGAUGGGAAGAUUUAUCAGCGUGCAUUUGGCGGACACAGCCUCAAGUUUGGAAAGGGCGGGCAGGCCCAUGGGUGCUGCUGUGUGGCUGAUCGGACCGGCCACUCAAUAUUGCACACCUUAUACGGGAGGUCUCUGCGAUAUGAUACC